rnacentral:rRNA from 1 species
UACAGAGGGGGCAAGCGUUGUUCGGAAUUACUGGGCGUAAAGGGCGCGUAGGCGGCCUUCUAAGUCGAACGUGAAAUCCCCGGGCUCAACCCGGGAACUGCGUCCGAUACUGGAAGGCUUGAAUCCGGGAGAGGGAUGCGGAAUUCCAGGUGUAGCGGUGAAAUGCGUAGAUAUCUGGAGGAACACCGGUGGCGAAGGCGGCAUCCUGGACUGGUACUGACGCUCAGGAGCGAAAGCGUGGGGAGCGAUCCGG